rnacentral:lncRNA from 1 species
UGUACGAUACGCACAUAUAGAUGGGAAUCCCCAAGUGUAUAGAAGCAAGCAGUGUUUGCAUAUACGACCCACCAUCAAAUCGAGAUAAAUACACCAAAACUGGAAAAAAUCCGAGCAGCUGAAUGGCACAGAACAAAGGCUCCCUCCAGCAGUACAUGAAUGAUUGAAGCCAAAACAAAAUAAAAUAAAUGAGGAACCAAAUCACAUUCUUUAUUUGAACCCUUCAGCUAGGAGACAAUUGGAGCCAACAGGAUCCAUUGUUUUUCACGAUUUCCUGUGAUUUAAAACAUGUUGCAGGUUAAACAAAUGGAUUUUUUUAUUCGGGCUGCUUCUAGAUAGUUUUUUGUGAUAAAACGGGCAUACAGCAUUAUAAGUUCCUACAUUAAUAAAAAAAAGUGCUCCAUAUAGAUGAUGCCAAUGAGAUAUGCAUGCUCAGGAAGGUAUUUUGCACUUUAAUUUACACAUCAAGCAUGUAUCUUACAUAUAAAAAUCUUAUUAGACUAGUCGAUGAAAUUGAACGUAAUGCAUGUUUUCCUACAGCCACAUGCCUCAAGGACCCAAAAGAGACUACGCAAUGAGGCAUGAACAAACUAAGCCUGUGGUUUAAAAAUCAUGUGUUAGUUUGUCUCAUGUGGAGUGCAGACAACCUCCAUGUGUUAGUUGCUGGGCAGAUCCCUUCCAUCAUGGAAGCUACUGCUGGUUCUUGAGACAAUACAAUCUUACAUAACGUUUUUUUUUUUGUACUCAAUCUUAUAUAAGGUUUUAGCCUAGGAACUAACCGAAGUACCUAACAUCGCACAAGGCCGGAUAAUUAGCAUAGUGCUUUCACCUUCGCAUUCUUGCAUCAAACAUAACUUGGUCAGGAAAGCAUUGUAACGAGCAUUACAUGAUUAAACUAAUUCCAAAAGUUUGCCCAAAAGAGGAUGUUCCAUCCCCUAAAGGAUUGUUUCGUUUUAGUGUUUUACCUAUGAAAAGUGCCUCUGCUUUAUGAAUAAUCAAAUAAACCUCAGUUCAUUUUCAAGCAUGCAUGUUAGAACAAUGCAGCCUUGCUGAUUCUGACAAUAGAAGGCACAAACUUUCAGAAACAUAAAGUGGUAGCCAGCAUCUUUUGUCUGAAAAUAGAUUUGUCUCUUCAUUCCUUCUGGAGAAGUUAAUCAAGUGCUAAAGUUGACUGGAAAUCUCAAAGUGGGAUGUAUGAGCCAUUAAUAAAUUGUACAAAUAAGCUUUUGGAUAGUUACGCCUAAACAAUGGAGGAGACACUAUAAAAGCAGGGGCAAUUUGACAUGCAUAGCUACGCCUAAACGCUGCUAGUACUUUUUUUGUUGAACAAAAACUGUAGGGAGUGACAUCCCAGGAAGUGAAGUAACUGAUAAAUAAACAGGAGAAUUACAACUUAAGUACAAUAUGUACAAAGAACCAAAGGAUUUGACUAUACAGUAUGAUAUAUAAAGGGGUCACUAAGUGAAAGAAUCCAAUUAAUUAAGCAGAGCGGGCUUAGUAUUCUCUUUAACCAACUAGUAGUACUACUUAAAAGUUGAAACUCUGAACACUAAUAAAAACCUAGGCAUAUGAUGUGAGAUCUGGAUGAGCAAUCCUACUCUUAAUGGGCCUUUGUUUGGAUGCAGAUAGACAGGCAUGUUGGGCCUAAAUGUCAGGCUGCAUAAUAAUUGGGCCAUUUGGUUGAGCACAGCCCACUGUUAACUGCUAAGUACCCUGCUUACAUCAUUGAAGCCCAACCAAGGACGACAGUGUUCAACACACCUACAUGUUAAACAUGUAACAUGUCACAAUAGGUGACCGGCGCAUCUCAUAGGAUAUAAUUGAGAUAGUUACGUUGUUGGAUAUAAUCUCAUAGGAUAUAAUUGAGAUAAAUACACCAAAACUCAAUGCGCAGAAGGGUAACCAGACGGUUGCCGCCUACUUCGCCUCUCUCCGUGGCCUCGCCGAAGAGCUUGCUGCUGCGGGGAAGGCCAUCCAAGAUGACGAACUCAUCUCCUACAUCAUCCACGGCCUCGACGUCGACUACCAGCCCCUCGUCUCCGCCCUCGACGCAUGCGUCACGCCGGUCUCCCUCGACGAGCUCUACGCCAUGCUCAGCAACUUCGACCAGCGCAUGGCCCAGUUUAAUCACUCGGGCAGCGGUGGCUUCCGCUCCUCUGCCAACGCCGCGGUGCGUGGCCGUGGUGGUGGAUCACGUGGCCGUGGCUCCUCUCGCGCCAAGGGGCGAUCUGGCGGACACAGUGGUGGCGGCAACAGCGGCGGCGGCAACAGCCGCUCUGGUGCAUCUCGCGGUCGUCGUGGCGGCGGUCCACCUCGGGCCCGGCCGGAGCUGCCUCGCUGCCAAAUUUGCGGUAAGCCAGGGCACACCGCGAAGGAUUGCUGGUACCGUUAUGAUGAAGACGACGAGGACUCCCAAGAUGAAGAAAAAGUGGCUGCCGCGGCUGAUGGAUCCUACGGCAUCGACACCAAUUGGUACGUCGAUAGCGGCGCCACCAAUCACAUCACCAAUGAGCUUGAGAAGGUCACAAUGAAAGACAAGUACCGUGGCAAAGAUCACAUCCACACGGCAAGUGGAGAAGGUAUGCAGAUUUGUCACAUUGGUCAUUCUACGUUUCAUACCCCUCACCGUCCAAUUCAUCUCAAGAAAAUUUUGCAUGUCCCUAGUGCUGCCAAAAGUCUCCUCUCUGUUCAUAAAAUUGCCCUUGACAAUCAUGUUUUCCUCGAAUUUCAUCCUUAUUUCUUUUUGAUCAAGGACCAGGCCACGAAGAAGGUUCUCUAUCGAGGUAGAUGUGUUCGAGGGCUCUACCCGUUGAUUCCGGAGCUUAGGAGACUCAAUAAACAAGCCAACGGUGUUGUCAAAGUUUCGUCAACACGGUGGCACGAUCGAUUAGGGCAUGCUGCUUUUUCUUUAGUUGAAAAAUUGCUUAGGAAAAAUAAACUCCCAUUUGUUGGUGAGCGAAAUGUCGAAACCAUUUGUGAUUCUUGUCAAUGUGCUAAAAGUCAUCAAUUACCAUAUCUAGUAUCUACUAGUGUUUCUACCAAACCACUUCAAUUGAUCUUUUCCGAUGUGUGGGGUCCUGCUCCCACGUCUGUUGGUAGACAUGAGUAUUAUGUAAGCUUUAUAGAUGACUAUAGCAAGUUUGUGUGGAUUUAUCUUCUCAAAAAGAGAUCUGAUGUCUUCCAAGUGUUUCAAAAUUUUCAAGCCUUGGUUGAACGAAAAUUUGAUAGCAAAAUUAUUGCGGUCNNNNNNNNNNNNNNNNNNNNNNNNNNNNNNNNNNNNNNNNNNNNNNNNNNNNNNNNNNNNNNNNNNNNNNNNNNNNNNNNNNNNNNNNNNNNNNNNNNNNNNNNNNNNNNNNNNNNNNNNNNNNNNNNNNNNNNNNNNNNNNNNNNNNNNNNNNNNNNNNNNNNNNNNNNNNNNNNNNNNNNNNNNNNNNNNNNNNNNNNNNNNNNNNNNNNNNNNNNNNNNNNNNNNNNNNNNNNNNNNNNNNNNNNNNNNNNNNNNNNNNNNNNNNNNNNNNNNNNNNNNNNNNNNNNNNNNNNNNNNNNNNNNNNNNNNNNNNNNNNNNNNNNNNNNNNNNNNUGGCAUAUCACACCAUGUCUCAUGUCCUCAUGCCCAUCAACAGAAUGGCUCCGCUGAACGGAAGCACAGACACAUAGUUGAGGUCGGGCUAGCUCUUCUGGCAGGAGCCUCCAUGCCCCUCAAGUUUUGGGAUGAGGCUUUUCUUACUGCUGUUCACAUCAUUAAUAUGCUUCCUAGUCGAGUCAUCCAUAAUCAAACUCCAGUAGAAAGACUUCUUCACAUCAAACCAGACUAUAAAUCUCUUCGCGUGUUUGGGUGUGCUUGUUGGCCCAAUCUUCGCCCAUACAACAAAAGAAAACUCAUGCUUCGCUCAAAACAAUGUGCUUUUCUAGGGUAUAGCCCUCAACACAAAGGUGUCAAGUGUUUAGAUAUUUCCACUGGCCGUGUCUAUAUAUCCCGUGACGUCGUUUUUGACGAAACACAAUUUCCUUUCGCCACCCUUCACCCAAAUGCCGGUGCUCGCCUCCGAGAAGAAAUUCUUCUCUUACCUACUCAUCUUACCACCAUUGAUCAAGGGGGUCCGAAUUCUGAUGAUCAUAUGUUGACUAAUCCUGCUACUAAUGGUGUGCAUGAGUUUUCUGAUGAUGUUCCAGGAGAUAACAGCGAAAACAGUGAAGAAAUCAGUGAUCAUAUGUUGACUAAUCCUGCUACUAAUGGUGUGCAUGAGUUUUCUGAUGAUGUUCCAGGAGAUAACAGCGAAAACAGUGAAGAAAUCAGUGAAAAAAACGCGCCGGCAGGUCCAUAUCGCAUGUGUCCGCAUAUAGGAGGCAAAUCCUUCUCGGGAUCGGCUCCACAGCAGCAGUUCAGUCGAUCUCCCUCGGGAUCGGCGUCGGCAGACACGCCAGACGCGCAGGCGACAGCGCCAGCCGACCGUGCGGCUGUCCCCAGUCCAACGCACGCCGCGCGUCACGCUCCAACUGGCGGCGGCCCCAGCUCCUCUCCGCGCCAACCCCCGUCCGACACGCGGCAGCACCCGGUUCGCCAGGAGGGCGCGCGCUUCCGUGACCAACCGGUCACGUACAAGCGGCGCGACCAGGUUCGCCGUCCUGCCACUGGGUCCGGAUCUGCUGCGGGACCGGGCGCGGACUCCUGUGCACCCACGAGCGCGUCGAAGACUGGCGUCCGCCCCGAGACUGAUCCGCCAUCAUCCACCAAUGAUGAGGCCCCGGGAUCUUCUGCGCCUACAGAGCAUGCUGCACCUGCUCAAACUGCCACAGAAGAUCCGGCGGGAGCAGAUUCUGCUACAGGAGCUUCAGUUUCGGGAUUUUCUAUGGCUGAGAAUCUUGAUGGUGCACCGUCACGACGUACACGACUACAGCAUGGGGUAAUACAUCCUGUUAAUUAUAAACACAUAACCAAAUAUGGUAUGGUUUGUUCUACAGGUGAACCCCAGACGCUCCAGGAAGCACUUGGUGAUGAAAAAUGGAAAAAUGCUAUGAAUGAAGAAUACAUGGCACUCAAGAAAAAUAAAACUUGGCAUUUAGUUCCCCCACAGCAAGGUAAAAAUUUAAUUGACUGCAAGUGGGUAUUCAGAAUAAAGAGGAAAUCUGAUGGAACUAUUGAUCGCUACAAAGCUAGGCUCGUUGCAAAGGGUUUCAAACAACGGUAUGGCAUAGAUUAUGAGGACACAUUUAGUCCAGUCGUUAAAGCUGCCACUAUCCGUCUUGUUUUGUCUAUUGUUGUUUCCAAGGGAUGGAAUCUCAGGCAACUUGAUGUUCAGAACGCGUUUCUUCAUGGUGUUCUGGAAGAGGAGGUAUAUAUGAAACAACCUCCUGGGUUUAUAAGUAAAAGUGCACCCUCUCAUGUCUGCAAGUUGGACAAAGCACUUUAUGGUUUGAAACAGGCACCAAGAGCAUGGUACUCCCGUCUCUGUCACAAAAUGCAAACACUUGGUUUUGUCCCUUCAAAGUCUGACACCUCUCUGUUCAUCUACAACAAGUUCAAUACAUGCAUAUUUGUCUUGAUAUAUGUUGAUGAUAUUAUUGUGACAAGCUCAUCUGAUGAAGCUAUCACAGGGUUGUUAAAAGAUUUGAGUGCAAACUUUGCCUUGAAGGAUCUUGGAGACUUACAUUAUUUUCUUGGGAUUGAAGUAAAGAGGCACAAGGAUGGACUUCAUCUCUCCCAAGAAAAAUAUGCAGUUGACUUGGUAAGAAAAGCCGGUCUACAGGGUUGUAAACCUACACCUACUCCACUGUCCAGUUCAGAAAAGUUAUCUCUCACACAAGGAACUCUCUUGAGUCAAGAGGAUAGCACAAAAUACAGAAGCUUGGUAGGAGCUCUUCAAUAUCUUACUCUUACUAGACCUGAUAUUUCUUUUGCUGUCAACAAAGUAUGUCAGUUCCUUCAUGCACCCACAACUGUUCAUUUGACUGCUGCCAAACGGAUAGUUAGAUAUGUCAAAAACACAUUAAGCAUGGGUCUCAAUUUUAGCAAGUCAUCCUCUACACUUGUCAGUGCAUUCUCUGAUUCUGAUUGGGCAGGCUGUCUUGAUGAUAGACGCUCUACUGGUGGCUUUGCUAUUUUCUUUGGACCCAACUUAAUUUCAUGGUGUGCUCGCAAGCAAGCUACAGUCUCCAGAUCUAGUACAGAGGCAGAGUAUAAAGCAUUGGCAAAUGCCACAGCUGAAAUCAUAUGGGUUCAGUCCAUGCUCAAGGAACUUGGUAUAGAAAUUAAACAAGCUCCAUGUUUGUGGUGUGAUAACCUUGGUGCCACCUAUCUCUCAGCCAAUCCAGUGUUUCAUGCCAGGACCAAACACAUUGAGAUAGAUUUUCACUUUGUUAGAGAGAGGGUGGCUCAUAAACAACUUGACAUUCGUUUUGUGCACUCCAGUGAUCAAAUUGCAGAUGGAUUCACAAAGGCAUUGCCGGUCAAGAGCUUUGAAAACUUCAAGUAUAAUCUCAACUUAAUGGAGUUGUGAUUAAGGGAGGGUGUUAAACAUGCAACAUGUCACAAUAGGUGACCGGCGCAUCUCAUAGGAUAUAAUUGAGAUAGUUAGGUUGUUGGAGUCUUAUGUUUAUCUCUUGUAACCUCUUAUCUCUAUCUCCUUUCUUGAUCUCCAAGAUUGUAAUCCAAACCACAUGUAUGCGCUGUUAUGGGAGGUGCGCCCCAUCUAUAUAACACGAAGCCGUCGGCCUGAAAAGGCAAGACGUUCCGCUAGUUCGCACACUACACACGUGACAUAAUUUGAAAGGUAGCUCUCUAGAUCAAAACCUACAAGAUAACCCUAACUGUUUUAAUAGAUUUUGUGAAGUAUAUGGUAACAUCAAACCAUCAACAUCGCCAAGUACGACAUUAAUAUCGAAGGAAAAUAGUCCGGUGGCUUGCAGCAAGAGAAGUAAAGAUGGUGAUGGAGGACUAUGGAUAUGAAUUUGGCUUGACAUGGAAGCGGCAUGCACGGAUAGUAAAUUUGAACAUAUGCUUAAUGAGGUUUUUUUUGUACAGUGGGCAAGUCACCUACUGCUUUCCUCAAUAAAAAAAAGGAAAAAAGUGUAUAAUAGAACAGAUUCCUGUGACAAGUGAGAACAGAUCAGGGCAGGAUUGGACUGCCUGAGCUUAUGGUUCUUUUGUUUCAUGCAUCUAAUUAAGAGGGGGCAAACGUUUGGUGGCUGUAUGACCUCCCAUUUUAUGAGACAGAGAAACUGGAGGUUGAUUGGUCACUUUACUGGAAAGUAAAUGCAAUUAUUUCUACAAGACAGGGCUUUAAGUGGAGUCUCUAUCUAUUGCUGGCAGGAAGCUUGCUGAGAAGUUGCUCAAGACUUAUCUACAGCCAUUAGUAUAUCGUUGAAGACUAAACAUGUAAAAACAUCAACUCAGGUAGUGAAAGGAGAUUUUGCUCUUUUUUUUUUUAGAAAGUUUGCUCUUAUAUGACCAUGUAUAUCUGCAGUUAAAAUGAAGUAAAUUAACAUACAAUUUCUGUUCAAAAAAUCUUCCGAUUCAGCAAUUUAUCGUCCGAUUUAUCGCUACUCCUGGGGUGACCGAUAAGAUUAUGCCUUAUCUUCACCGUUUAUCGUUUGGGCCGAUUUAUCGCUCUAGCAAACGAUUUAUCGAGAAUCUACUGAUAAAUGGAGCCUAUUCCUACCACUAUUUUUGCAAAAACUAUGUUUGCUUUGGUUUUGUCGACCUUGUUAUGCAAUAUGUACUAUUGUCCUAUUUUGUUUGUCAUUAUAUGAGGAUUCAAAGGCUAGGAAUCAAGGUAACACUUCUGUCCAAUAUUUUUUUUGGUGUUGAAUAUAGCAUAUUUUAGUGUUGGGAGCCUGGGAUUUGCAAAAAAAUGGCGAUUAAUAGUCAGACCGAGAAAAUCGAUUAAACGGCCGAUUUCCGAUUAAUCUCUAUUCCUCAGCUGACCGAGACGCUAACGAUAAGUGAUAUCCUCAACAUUCAAUAACACAAGAACAAUCCUAGGCACGGAUAAUCCAAGAGAGAAAUCUGACUCGUUCAAGAAAAGCGAAAAAGGAAUAUGCCUCACUGAAGACGAAGGCAUGGUAUGUAUUACCGUAUACAUGAUUAAGAGUCAGAAGGAAGGGAUUAGGGUAAACAACAGAAGUUCAUCAGCUCCCCCAGUUACUAGCUAGUACUCCCUCUGUCCAGAAAUACUUGUCGGAGAAAUGGAUGUAUCUAGACGUUUUGGUUCUACAUACAUCCAUUUUUAUCCAUUUCUGCGACAAGUAAUUCCGGACAGAGGGGGUAUAUCAUACUGGUUGAUGGGACACUCUGAUUGAGAGGCCAGCGAGAGAUGAGAGAUGAGAAGAAACACCCCUCAAUCUUUCAUGAGCUACUCAACGCAACACUGCAGAUAGCAAACACCAAAGGCUAGCUGCAUAUGAUUUUUUUCGAAAAGGAAGGUUAAACCUUCCGGCCUUUGCAUCCUCAGAUGCACAUAGCCAAACUGCAUAUACUCCCUCCGUCCAAAAAUAAGUGUCUCAACUUUAGUACAACUUUAUACUAAAGUUGAGACACUUAUUUUGGGACGGAGGGAUUAUUUAUCUACACGCCAAAUGUUUUGGCAAUUAGGUCUUGUUCUUCGUGUCCCAGUACUUGUGGAAGUGCAGCAACACGGGGCUCUUGCACCUGGGGCACUUGGGUUGCUUCUCUUCUUCUGAAUCCGAGAGCAUCAUGUACAUGAGGCACUGGGGGCAUCCAGCGACCACCAUCGGCAUCUCCACCUCCGCAUCCGACGACACGCAUGAGCUCGCCGGCGAAUCCACGGACACUUCACCGCUCGUUGUCAUCUGGCUCAUGCUUGGCUUACUAAGUGGUGUCAAGCUAGCUAGAGUGCAGUGCUAGAGGAAGAGGAAGAGAGGAGCCCCUCUGUAGCUGUUCUGUGGUGUGUGAGAAACUGAGAACUGUGGUCGUGCAGUGCACCUCCCACUACCAGAACCUUAUAUAAUGGCUUGGGAAAGGAAGAGCACGUCCUAAAAUAAAAAUUGCUUAUAUUUCCUUAAGCAGGCAAGAGAUUGGAGGUCAAAAUCAUUGCAGCUGAGGUGAAGUUUCCUUAUGACUGAAAGACUUUCUCCUUCCACGCGUGGGCAUUCAAAUGAAGGAUGGUACACUAGUAGUUCAAGAAAAGUCAGCAGUUGGGGCUUCUUUUACAUUUAGCAAAAAGUUUCCAGGAGGAUACACAACUCCCUUUCCCAUUCCCUUUACUGCUGUAAAUACUGGUUAUUUGCAUUGAGCAAUUAAUGGAAAGGGGUUCGCCUGGUUAGAACAAAAAUAAGGGUUUGCUACAUUAAGAUUGUUUGGUUGAGACUGUUGUACUGGCAUAUACCUAACCCUUGAAUGAGAGAACAGUUGGAGUUAUCAGAAAAUAUAACAACCACCCCCCCCCCUCCCCCCCAAACACACACACCAAAAAAAUAGCUUAACAAACCGACCUACCGAAUUUCAGUAAUCUGAAAAGAUAUAUGGAUAGCAAAUUUGUGAUUAAACUAAGUAGCUCGGCUGGACAAAAAAAUACAAAUGUAAGACCCUGGAAUCAUGAGUAUGGUGCCUACUUGAUAUAGUGUACUCUGGUGAAAUCAUGAGAGACAAAUAGAACAAUGAUGUUUGCAUAUCAAUAAAAAAUUACAAGGUGCCUUGACAGGAAUUCCAAACAACAUACUCAGAGUAGCCGGUUACGACUUACAAGUAACUCAGACUUCACUUUGAAAACAAGUUAUUUAUUACCGUAUCAUUUAAUAUUAUAUACAGUGAAUGCAUCUCUAAGUGGUUGGUCCAAACAGAUUGCUGUUUAUGUCUGAACCUAACAACUACUGUGUGGCGUCACAGCAGGGGAGCUAUGGGCACAACUGUUGCACUGAUCUAUGUUAAACACUAUGUUCUCAUGCAUUUGGUUGGUUGGACUUAAGGUUUGGUGUGGAGCACAUGUCAUAUAAUUAAGUUAAAGUUAAGUAGGGAUGUAAACCGGUCCAGUUUAAACCCACUUAUCAGUCUAACAGUUUAAUAAAUUUUUCUCAGGGAAAAUGAACUAUCGAGCUAACUAAAGCUAACUAAAUGGGCCUUGCGGCGCCAUUUACAUCCCUAAAGGUAUGUAGGCUAGAUUAUACAAUUAAUCCGCAAGAAAAUAAUUAUACAAUCAACCAAAAGUAUCAGAAGCAGCUAGCGGCCUGAAACGAAAUGCAAAUGCUUCAGGAUGAAAGAUAUUGAAAUAUGAAGUCAAAAAGGGUAUCUUAGAUGAUUUAGUUUCAAUCCCUUUCUUCACCCUUGUAUGUUUUUCUGUCUUACACUCUACGAUUUAAAUCAGUUAUAACCUGCAUACUAAAUAAUGUCAGGAUAAUUGUAACUGUAUAUGAAGGGGAGCCUUGGCGCAGUGGUAAAGCUGCUGCCUUGUGACCAUGAGGUCAUGGGUUCAAGUCCUGGAAACAGCCUCUUACAGAAAUGUAGGGAAAGGCUGCGUACUAUAGACCCAAAGUGGUCGGACCCUUCCCUAGACCCUGCGCAAGCGGGAGCUACAUGCACCAGGUUGCCCUUUUAUACUUGUAACUGUAUAUACCUUGUCAUUCUAAGUUAACUGUUUGGCUGUGGCGCAGUUCCAUUGUUAAAACAGCUGCAGAAGGCCAUCGAUAAUGUUUAGCAUGAGAACAAAUAAAGCUUAUAGUACUGGCUCACUUUGAUUUGUGGAGAAAUACUUGUCAUUCAUUCUUGGUAACUGCAUCUGCAUGGCAGCAUAACAUAUUAACAUAUGAGAGUAAUAAUGUGAGAGUAUUGUAUUUGUUGAGCCAACCAGAAACAUCUUGUCAAGCAUACGGUAGCUUCUCCAGCCAACGAAAAGCAAAUGCAGGAAAAAAGUAUGUUAUCCUAGUCACAGAGUUUAGGAGCCUAAAUAGUGUGGACCCUGAAAAAAAUACUACUCUCUCCGUCCCAAAAUAAGUGUCGUGGCUUUAGAUGCUUUCCAAAUAACAGUAUUGCAAGCCAGCUUCUGAAAAAUAAACAUGGCUACUUGAUUCUAGCAGGUCUGAAAUGUCAAAGAGCUCUUCUCCUAUCUCCAGCAAAUUUAAACCUUUUCCGACAACCCUGAGUGACAAUUUUGAAGUUGUGUCUGUGUGUUUGAGAGAAACCCCAAAAUAUAGAUAAGAAUGUUUCUGAUAGCGCAUCGCGUAUGAUCAGAGAGACAGAGACACUAAUAUUUACAUGAUAUAAGUGGUAACUGCAUGACCAGCAUCUGAUGCCAUUGAUUUUUCUCCUUGUAUUUUUACACUUACAAUCACUGAAUUACUGCUAACAAAUUUAAAAGCAUCCAGAGCAUGGCUAAACAAAGGAGAAUUAUCUCCUCCAGUACAGAAGUGAGGACAAACAUGGAUUGCAUGCAUGUGUUAGCAGUAUUUGGCAGUAAUCCCUUGUGUAUUCAGUAAUGAAAUGGGCACUAUUUGUUUUCUACUGUAUUUCUUGUCAUUAUGUAAGUAGAUCUUGUAGUUUUUUUUUCUAUUUUCCUACACUAAUGAGAUUGGCAGAGCCCCCCCUUUCCCGUCAAAGAAAAAAUUAAUCCCUUGUGGCCUUCACCACACACCACUCAUGUAGAGGGCAAACGUGAACGGAUUAGCAAUUGAGAGUCCAAACCGUGAGAGCCAGCCAGGGAGCAGACACUUUGCGGAAUGAGGGCGCCGUCGAACAUGGGGAUGGUCACCAUCUCCGCCUCGGCCCGGCACUCCAUGCAUCGCCGCAUCUCAAGGCGGG